UACGAAGGGGGCUAGCGUUGCUCGGAAUUACUGGGCGUAAAGCGCACGUAGGCGGUCUUUUAAGUCGGGGGUGAAAUCCUGGAGCUCAACUCCAGAACUGCCUUCGAUACUGGAAGACUUGAGUCCGGGAGAGGUGAGUGGAACUGCGAGUGUAGAGGUGAAAUUCGUAGAUAUUAGCAGGAACACCGGUGGCGAAGGCGGCUAUCUGGACGACAACUGACGCUGAGGCGCGAAAGCGUGGGGAUCAAACAGG
rnacentral:rRNA from 1 species